GACGAACGCUGGCGGCGUGCUUAACACAUGCAAGUCGAACGAAGUGGCGAACGGGUGAGUAACGCGUAAUCAACCUGCCCUUCAGAGGGGGAUAACAGUUGGAAACGACUGCUAAUACCGCAUACUGAAGGAGGGGAUUGCGUCUGAUUAGCUAGUUGGAGGGGUAACGGCCCACCAAGGCGAUGAUCAGUAGACGGGCUGAGAGGAUGGGCGGCGACUUUUGGACGGGGAAGCAGCGCGGACUCCUACGGGAUGGAGCAAUAGGGGAUAGUGCUACAUGGGGGAAACCAUGAAGCAGCAAGGCCGGGUGGGGGAUGACACUUGUCACAGCGUAAACUCUUUUUGUUAGGGAAGCGGUACCUAACUAGUAAGCACCGGCUAACUACGUGCCAGCAGCCGCGGUAAUAC
rnacentral:rRNA from 1 species